rnacentral:rRNA from 1 species
UAGAUACCCUGGUAGUCCACACAGUAAACGAUGAAUACUCGCUGUUUGCGAUAUACUGCAAGCGGCCAAGCGAAAGCGUUAAGUAUUCCACCUGGGGAGUACGCCGGCAACGGUGAAACUCAAAGGAAUUGACGGGGGCCCGCACAAGCGGAGGAACAUGUGGUUUAAUUCGAUGAUACGCGAGGAACCUUACCCGGGCUUGAAUUGCAACCGAAUUAUCCGGAAACGGGUAAGCCGCAAGGCGGUUGUG